rnacentral:rRNA from 1 species
GACGAACGCUGGCGGCGUGCUUAACACAUGCAAGUCGAACGGAAAGGCCCUGCUUUUGUGGGGUGUUCGAGUGGCGAACGGGUGAGUAACACGUGAGUAACCUGCCCCUGACUUUGGGAUAACUUCAGGAAACUGGGGCUAAUACAGGAUAGGAGCUCCUGCUGCAUGGUGGGGGUUGGAAAGUUUCGGCGGUUGGGGAUGGACUCGCGGCUUAUCAGCUUGUUGGUGGGGUAGUGGCUUACCAAGGCUUUGGCGGGUAGCCGGCCUGAGAGGGUGACCGGCCACCAUGGGACUGAGGUACGGAGCAGACGGCUACGGGAGGCAGCAGUGGGGAAUAUGGCACAAUGGGCGGAAGCCUGAUGCAGCGACGUCGGGUGCGGGAUGACGGCCUGUGGGUUGUAAACCGCUUUCGCCUGUGACGAAGCGUGAGUGACGGUAAUGGGUAAAGAAGCACCGGCUAACUACGUG